rnacentral:rRNA from 1 species
GAUGAACGCUAGCGGCAGGCCUAAUACAUGCAAGUCGAACGGUAGAUCGGGUAGCAAUACUUGAUUGAGAGUGACGUAAGGGUGCGUAACACGUAUGCAAUCUACCCUCAACAGGAGUAUAGCUCGGGGAAACUCGGAUUAACACUCCAUAACAUUACGAUGUGGCAUCACAUUGUGAUUAAAACUCCGGUGGUUGAGGAUGAGCAUGCGUCUGAUUAGUUAGUUGGAGGUGUAACGGACCCCACGACGAUGAUCAGUAGGGGAACGUAGAGGAGGUUGGUAUCCCCCACCCACUGGCGACU